UGACCUCGGAUCAGGUAGGAAUACCCGCUGAACUUAAGCAUAUCAAUAAGCGGAGGAAAAGAAACCAACAGGGAUUGCCCUAGUAACGGCGAGUGAAGCGGCAACAGCUCAAAUUUGAAAUCUGGCUUCGGCCCGAGUUGUAAUUUGUAGAGGAAGCUUUUG
rnacentral:ncRNA from 1 species